GACCAGCAGUCUUGGACCUUAAGCUCUGAAAGGCCCAUCAAGAACAGGUGGUGCUCCAGCUGCCAAGAGCUUGAAAGAGGCACCAUCUGAAAUGGCAAGAUUCAGACGCAGCCGGAGCCGAAGCCUCAGUCGCCGCCGACGGAGGAGGCGACGUGGAGGUAAAGGUGGAAGGAGGAGGAGGAGACGCCAUGGCAGAAGAAGAAAAGGUGGUCACAAACACGGUCACAGGAGGAGAAGGAGAAGAAGAGGCCACAAAGACUAAGCUCCAUGGUCUUGGACACUUCUCAUUCCUCUCAUUGUGGGCCUCUCAACACCUGCCAAAAAAACCACACCCACAAACCUUCUGAAGAGUAACACCCAAGAUGACUUACCCAGAAUCAAGGAGGCUGAAACAAUUUGAACAAUACCACCUGUCAAUAAACAUUGGCAUAUUA